ensembl:misc_RNA 7SK 7SK RNA
GGACUUGAGGGUGGUCUGGCUGUGACAUCUGCAAUGGAUUGCCAGGGUUGAUGCAAUUGAUCUGGCCGGCUAGUCGGAGGUCCCCUUCUUCCCUCAAUCCUGCUUCCCUUCUGAAGCUCCACACUUCAUGGAAGAGGAUAUUUCCUGAUAGAGGAGGAUCAUUAUUUGAUCAAGGGUGUAUAAGUAGGGGUACUCAUCUGCUACGAUCUCCAAACAAGCUCUCAAGUUCCAUUUGUAGAAGAAUGUAGUGGAGCCAAGCUGCCAAGACUCCAAACACAUCUAAAUGAUCCAUUAUAUGUGGCAGCCUACCUUU